ensembl:lncRNA
CCUCAAUGGGACGGGCUCUUGUGCUGCCCUGCAAGGACAGCACACCAGGCUGUGUGUCCCUGCCCACACUGAGGGGACAGUGCCCGUGCUGGGGGACAGACAGUGCCCUGCACAAAAUGCUGCAGGGUUCAGCAAAAUGGUGAUGUGGAAAGCCAGCAACAGCAUUUUGUCUUACUACCUCCUUCAUGUAUCAGCAGCAUUGAAUAAGGGAGGAACAUCGUGUGGGAUCCUGGCACAACAAAUGCGUUGCUGGACUCGCAGGAACUCACCACUCGAGUGAAAUAACAGGGAAGAUAAAAACGUGAAAAACAACAAUAAAGGGAGAGCUGCCAGGUGGAGAAAUAGGAUGGUUUGUUGUUUCUAUGAAGCCAGUGGGGAAGUGCAGCAGGCAAGGAAAGGAAUGUGAAUAGUGAUGGAUGAGAGGAGCAUUGAAUUUCCUGCAAACACUCAUCCACUCUUUCUGUGACUGGGCUUCAGCUGCAUUCUCAUGUAUUUGUGCUUUCCAUUAAUGCUGCACGACAGUACAAAUGCCAGUGGAAGCUGGGUGCCCUUGGAUUCACCUCUCAGGUGAGGUUUGCCCUCCUUCACCACAGGAGAGAAGAAGCCUGGCAGCAGGAAGACCAAAAGAUUAAAAUAGAAUAUUCUGGAAUCAUAUCAAGAUGGAACAAAGAAUCUGUGCAUUAUCAACCAAGACCUAUUCCUGGAAAUUCAGUAUGCCAGCUCACCUCCCAAGCAUGCUCAGAUGAGAUUUCUGUGACUAAAAACCAGAGCAUCCUGAUGCCACAAGACACUCGCUCACAUCACCAAUAGAUUGUGACCUUUACUCUGCAUAAGCAUAUUAACAGACUGGGCCAUUUUACAAAUUACACUGCAUUCCUGAAUAGUGAAAUAAAAUGUCAGAAAAGCUCA